rnacentral:lncRNA from 1 species
AGAUAAUCAAAUAUAUAGCUCUCUAAUUCAUAAAACAUCAAGCAAUAAACUCUAAAAAUUACACAUUCUAAAUAUAUAGUACAAGCUGCCAAGGUUCGAUCAUAUAAUUCAGCUCAAAAUAUUUGGGCUUUCGGGGCUAAACGCAUUUAAAAAUUUUGUUCUUACGCAACUUAUUUAACUCAUAAACGUAUUUUAUAUGAUCUAUAUGCAACUCACCAGAAAUAGUGUGGUGCACUUAGACAAUAUAAGUUGUCGUUCAAAACUCAUGUAGAAGCCCAACACACAAACGCUACAAAACGAACAAACCCUACAUGACCUAAUUAAAACAACAAAAUAAUUUCAUAUAUAUAUAUAUAUAUAAUUAAAAUACAUCCAGCAUUGACAUGAAAAC